AGAACCCAGAUUUUUCAGUCUUCUGUUCCCAUAUGCGAUAUAUCAUUAUUCAGGUGCUAUAAAAUUAACAGGUUUGUACCUAGUGUUCAUGCUUUGUGUGUGCCAAAUUUCAGCUAAAAAGCAAGCAAACGAAGGCUAACAAUGGAACUAGUGCUGUCUGGUUAAACAGCUAAUGGAGAUUGCUGGUGUGGUUCAGUGGAGAUUGCUGAUACGAUUUUUGCGAGUAUGGAUGCUCUGACGAAGCCCAGAAGCCUAGAAGUGAGAAGCCUGGUAUGCCCUUGAUCACGAGAUGGUUUCUCCGUUUAUGUAUUUACCGUGUGUUUUGUUGCCUGUGUUGCCUGCACGUGGCGUCGAUGUGUGGCCGUCCAAUAGCCCAGUAGCAGUAUCUGUGUGACUGUAAUAUUUCCUCGUGAAUAUGUUUGGGUCUAAGACUAUCUUCAGCAAUUUAUUUAUCAUAUCUCCUAUUUCAAAUCUUA